GUCCACGCCGUAAACGAUGAGAACUAGAUGUUAGGUGGCUUGACCACUUAGUAUCGAAGCUAACGCGAUAAGUUCUCCGCCUGGGGAGUACGGCCGCAAGGUUAAAACUCAAAGGAAUUGACGGGGGCCCGCACAAGCGGUGGAGCAUGUGGUUUAAUUCGAUGCAACGCGAAGAACCUUACCUACCUUUGAAUCCACAGAACCUUCUAGAGAUAGAGGGGUGCCUUCGGGAGCUGUGAGACAGGUGCUGCAUGGCUGUCGU
rnacentral:rRNA from 1 species